rnacentral:tRNA from 1 species
GCCCUCGUAGCUCAAUUGGACAGAGCGUUUGCUUGCGGAGCAAAAGGUUACAGAUUCGAGUUCUGUCGGGGGCACCA